CACAGUUAUGAUGGGACGUCCCCCAUAACCUGGCAAGGAAGAUGGUCGGCUCUUCUGAGGCACAAAGGCCUCGAGUCCUGGUGUUGGUAUGGCCUGGCCUCCACGGUGCACCCCUGCUGGUGGAUGGCUCAGGACGGGGCAGUUGCCUUGAGAGGCCCGCUGCAUGCUGCCACAACAGAUGGUCGAUUCUUACAAGCAACGGAGUCCCCAUGGAGUCGUGGAGUCAGUGUGGCCUGGCAUCCAUCGUGCACCUUGUGGUGGCAGGUGGCUCAGGGCGGUGAGCCUCAGCUGGGAGUGCGGCCGGAGAUUGGGUCUGGUCACGAUGUCAGAUGCCCCAUGGGAGGUGUGUGUGCUCAGACCAAGGGUGGAAGCUGUUAGGUAAGUGACUUUAGGCCUAUGUCCUGAUGGCCCUGAAGUCAAAGUUCACAUCCAACUGAUUGAAGACCUUGGUCUUGAGCCUUCGGGUUAUGGGUGGGCCUCAGGUCUGCAGGCUGAAGACUCUGAUUGCCCGCUGUGGUGGUGCGAAACACAUGUGCAUGAGAGAGACUAACACGCACAGUAUCACUGUCACACACGCACCCACACACAAGGCGGUGUGCACAGCCACAGGCAGACAGAUGCAACAACGGUCUUCCUAGGUGUCUAGAUGUCCUGGCUGUGUAGAAAGUGACACGUGUCAGGUAUAUUCAUAUAGACAGGCGUCCAUCACAGAGGCCAAGGAGAAGCAGGCAUGUGAGACGCUCUGUGGAAAGAAUGGUGUUGAAGUGAGAAUGAACCUGGGCUCUUUCUCAGGUGCGCAUUUGAUUUCUUUACACUUCUCAGGGGCAGUUAUCAUGGGACAUCCGCCAUACGCUGGCAAGGAAGAUGGUCAGUUCUUCUGGUCCACAAAGGCCCCCGGAGUCCUGGAGGGCAGUUGCCUUGAGAGGCCUGCUGCAUGCUGCCACAACAGAUGGUCGAUUCUUACAAGCAACGGAGUCCCCAUGGAGUCGUGGAGUCAGUGUGGCCUGGCAUCCAUCGUGCACCUUGUGGUGGCAGGUGGCUCAGGACGGGGCAGUUAUCAUGGGACAUCCGCCAUACGCUGGCAAGGAAGAUGGUCAGUUCUUCUGGUCCACAAAGGCCCCCGGAGUCCUGGAAUGGUUGAUUCUUCCACGCAACGGAGUCCCCAUGGAGCCGUGGAGUCAGUGUGCCCUGGCAUACAUGGUGCACCGCAUGCUAGCAGGUGGCUCAGGACGUUAUGAUGGGACGUCCCCCAUAACCUGGCAAGGAAGAUGGUCGGCUCUUCUGAGGCACAAAGGCCUCGAGUCCUGGUGUUGGUAUGGCCUGGCCUCCACGGUGCACCCCUGCUGGUGGAUGGCUCAGGACGGGGCAGUUGCCUUGAGAGGCCCGCUGCAUGCUGCCACAACAGAUGUUCGAUUCUUACAAGCAACGGAGUCCCCAUGGAGUCGUGGAGUCAGUGUGGCCUGGCAUCCAUCGUGCACCUUGUGGUGGCAGGUGGCUCAGGGCGGGGCAGUUAUCAUGGGACAUCCGCCAUACGCUGGCAAGGAAGAUGGUCAGUUCUUCCGGUCCACAAAGGCCCCCAGAGUCCUGGAGGGCUGUGCCCUGGAGAGACCUGCCAUGUGCUGCCGCAACAGAUGGUUGAUUCUUCCAAGCAACAGAGUCCCCAUGGAGUCAUGGAGUCAGUGUGCCCUGGCAUCCAUGGUGCACCCCGUGCUAGCAGGUGGCUCAGGACCGGGCAGUUAUCAUGGGACAUCCCACAUAUCCUGGCAAGGAAUGUGGUCCAUUCUUCUGAGCCGCAAAGGCCCCCAGAGUCCUGGAGUCAUUAUGGCCUGGCAUCCAUGGUACACCCCUGCUGAUGGAUGGCUCAAGAUGUUGCCUUGA
ensembl:lncRNA